AAUAUGAAUUAGUGAUCAUUUUGUCAUCAAAUGAUCCAUCGUUUGGCGUUCAGUACGAACAUCAGUGUUUUUGUACAGCUGGUAUCAAGCGAUGUAACGUUGUGAUUGCUUCGACUACUGGGGUAAAGGCACACAAGUCACAGUCUCAAACACACAGCCAUCGGCACCAACUUCUCUGAUCGCCCUGUCUCAGUGCGGAACUGGUUCUGAUGGACUCCAGACCAUUGGCUGUUUGGCCUCUGGGUUUUUUCCAGCCGAAUCGCUAAAUUUCAAAUGGACUGAUGGAAAUGGAAAUGCCCUGACUGACUUCGUCCAGUACCCAGCCACGAGUCAAUCAUCAUCGGCUUUGAAAAUUAGUCACAUAACUGUUAGUCAAGAACAAUGGAAACAACGAGAGAAAAUAAUGUGUAAGGCGGAGAAUCCAAAGGGUCAUUUGAGUAAAGAAUUUGAAAAGCCAGUGGACCAACAGCCACCAGUAUUGAGUCUGGUUCCAGUAAUAACUAAGAAAAGUUCCUUUGUCAUGUGUGUGGUUGAGGACUUCUUCCCCAAAGACCUCACUGUUCAAUGGAAAUUAAAUGAUAAAACUGAGACAAGUGAGACUUUCCAGCAGAACAUACCAGACAAGAACAAUGGUCUUUACACAACAAGGAGUUAUAUUAAGCUCAGAAGUGAUACAAAUACUGUCUACACCUGUCAGGUCACACACCAGGGAAAAACAAUUCUGGAGAAGAAAAACUUUAAUGCUAGCUUCACACUGACUCUGAAGCCACCAGUGCAGAGAGAAAUAUUUGUCAACAAUAAAAUUAUAUUGGAGGCUGUUGUUUCUGGAAGUGUAAUCAAAGCAGUAGAAGAUGCUUCGGUGUCGUGCCUAGUGGAUAAUCAACAAAUCAGUGGGAUACCAGGAAAUGCACAUUUUUCAAAGGAAACUUCUCAGCAUAUGAGAAUCUACAAUGUCACAGUUGAUCACAAGAAAUGGUUUGAGGGUAAAAAGGUCAUCUGUUCCACCCGUGACACAAAUGGAAAAGAAAUCAGGGAGGAGAUCCAAUUUAACAAAGGAGAUGGAAAGAAGCCCAAUGUUGUUAUUUACAGACCUGACAAUGAUAAACCUGGUCACGUCUCUCUGGUGUGUGAGGUUACCAGCGCACAGCUUGGUGAUGUUUAUAUCAUGUGGACAGUGGGCGCUGAAAAAAAAUACAUAGAGGCCCCUACCAGUGGUCCAAUUCGUCAAGAGACCUUCACAUCUGUCCUCAGCUUUUUAACAGUGACUCCAGAACAAUACAAAAAUUCUGAAAUCUCCUGUGCAGUCCAACAUGCCAACAUCAACAAUACAAUCUCACCAUUAAUAAUAUCAACAAGCAAAAGUGAGCCACCAGAGCCAGAGACAGGCUUUGCUUUGCUCUGCAAUAAAAAUGUUUUGGAGGAGGAUGAGUUCAGAAGUCUCUGGUACACUGCCACCUCAUUCAUCUUUCUGUUCCUCUUUACUCUGACCUACAGCGCUCUGCUAAGCUUCUUCAAGAUGAAGCAGUGAAGACUCAUGGGUCAUUCAUUUGUCUUGUGACUGUCAUUGUAUUUUCUUUUGAUCUUAUCUAUUUUGAAAUAACAAAAAAAGAAAAGAAGCAAUUCUUUCUUGCUUUGUCUGUGACUUGGACAAAGUAUUUUUUUAUGUAGGCUAAUUGAUAUUGUUAAAACUGUAUAAUUUGCCUCUGUGCAUAAAUUUUUGCCUGUGUGCAUACAUUUUUGAAAAUAUUGAUAAAGAUGUGUUCAGUGUCAUACACUCAUCAGUAAAGUAUUAUGUUGUUUACUCUG